rnacentral:rRNA from 1 species
AGCGGAGGGAUCAUUACCGAGUUAUACAACUCAUCAACCCUGUGAACAUACCUAAAACGUUGCUUCGGCGGGAACAGACGGCCCUGUAACAACGGGCCGCCCCCGCCAGAGGACCCCUAACUCUGUUUUUAUAAUGUUUUUCUGAGUAAACAAGCAAAUAAAUUAAAACUUUCAACAACGGAUCUCUUGGCUCUGGCAUCGAUGAAGAACGCAGCGAAAUGCGAUAAGUAAUGUGAAUUGCAGAAUUCAGUGAAUCAUCGAAUCUUUGAACGCACAUUGCGCCCGCCAGUAUUCUGGCGGGCAUGCCUGUUCGAGCGUCAUUACAACCCUCAGGCCCCCGGGCCUGGCGUUGGGGAUCGGCAGAAGCCCCCUGUGGGCACACGCCGUCCCUCAAAUACAGUGGCGGUCCCGCCGCAGCUUCCAUUGCGUAGUAGCUAACACCUCGCAACUGGAGAGCGGCGCGGCCAUGCCGUAAAACACCCAACUUCUGAAUGUUGACCUCGAAUCAGGUAGGAAUACCCGCUGAACUUAAGCAUAUCAAU